CAGCGACCAUACCAUGCUGAAUAUACCGGUUCUCGUUAGAUCACCGAAGUCAAGCAUUAUUGGGCGUGGUCAGUACUUGGGUGGGUGACCACCUGGGAACACCGCGUGCCGUU
rnacentral:rRNA from 1 species